UAGGGAAUCUUCGGCAAUGGACGAAAGUCUGACCGAGCAACGCCGCGUGAGUGAAGAAGGUUUUCGGAUCGUAAAACUCUGUUGUUAGAGAAGAACAAGGACGUUAGUAACUGAACGUCCCCUGACGGUAUCUAACCAGAAAGCCACGGCUAACUACGUGCCAGCAGCUGCGGUAAUACGUAGGUGGCAAGCGUUGUCCGGAUUUAUUGGGCGUAAAGCGAGCGCAGGCGGUUUCUUAAGUCUGAUGUGAAAGCCCCCGGCUCAACCGGGGAGGGUCAUUGGAAGCUGGGAGACUUAAGUGCAGAAGAGGCGAGUGGAAUUCCAUGUGUAGCGGUGAAAUGCGUAGAUAUAUGGAGGAACACCAGUGGCGAAGGCGGCUCUCUGGUCUGUAACUGACGCUGAGGCUCGAAAGCGUGUGGAGCAAACAGG
rnacentral:rRNA from 1 species